rnacentral:rRNA from 1 species
AGUGAACGCUGGCGGUAGGCCUAACACAUGCAAGUCGAACGGCAGCACAGUAAGAGCUUGCUCUUACGGGUGGCGAGUGGCGGAUGGGUGAGGAAUACAUCGGAAUCUACUUUUUCGUGGGGGAUAACGUAGGGAAACUGACGCUAAUACCGCAUACGACCUACGGGUGAAAGCAGGGGAUCUUCGGACCUUGCGCGACUGAAUGAGCCGAUGUCGGAUUAGCUAGUUGGCGGGGUAAGGGCCCACCAAGGCGACGAUCCGUAGCUGUUCUGAGAGGCUGAUCGGCCACACUGGAACUGAGACACGGUCCAGACUCCUACGGGAGGCAGCAGUGGGGAAUAUUGCACAAUGGGCGCAAUCCUGAUCCAGCCAUACCGCGUGGGUGAAGAAGGCCUUCGGGUUGUAAAGCCCUGUUGUUGGGAAAGAAAAGCAGCGUGAGAAUACCCCGCUGUUCUGACGGUACCCAAAGAAUAAGCACCGGCUAACUUCGUG